UGCGCGGUAGAGGAGCGGCUGUCCUCGCGAGCCUCAUGAGCUCGAGACCGUGGGUUCGAAUCCCACCCGCGCUA
rnacentral:tRNA from 2 species